ensembl:lncRNA
GGAAGGUGUUGGAGAGGAAACUAAAGAGUGAAAUUACAACCUCAAAUUUUCAAAAUAGGGGGUAAAAACACCCAUGAAUGUCUGUCCUUAGAAGCAGAGAGUAUUAAAGACAUCUGUGUGACUCAUCACUGAAGAGUAGCCUGGGAAGAAAAUGGAAAGCUUUGGAACAACCUGUGCCUUCAUUGGACAUGUAAAACAUCUCUACCUGAUGUCAUUAACAGCAUAAUGGAACACUCUGUGACAGCGCCUAAGGUCUGUUUGUAAAUUGGACCAAGGUGGAAUUGGCCAUGCAGAUGAGCGAUACAAUGCAACAUCUUCACGUGUAUGCUAUAGGUCUCUCCCCAGCCUCAACCACUAACUCCUGGGACCCUUUGUGGGUCUCACUUUGCCCAUGAACUGACAGGGAUGAGGCACUAACCCCUGAAUAUUCUUGCUUCUGGUCUAGCUCCCAGCAAACUCUCUAUGUACUCAAUGAAGAGCAUUCCAGAGGGGCCCACAGUUUAUAGAGACGCUGUCUGGAAGGUCUCACAGAGAGUCAUUUAUAUUUAGAAAAAAAGGAAAAGAAAACAUUUGGGAGAACCAUGGCUACUCUCGUGUGCAAAAUAAAAUUCUGCACAAAAAGAUGUUUUGCCUGGUAAACAAUAGAUUCUUUUGCCGCUGAACUUCUAGACCCACAUUUUUUUAGACCUUGAAUUACGCUUGAAAAACGAGCAAGAACAGAUGGUGAAAGAUGUCUGCAAGGUUGUGGAAAGUACUGACGUCGGAGUCAGAAGAACAGAGUUUAAAUUUCUGUUCGUUUAAUUUCUGACUGUGUGAUCUUGAGCAAGCCACUUGACCCAUAAAAGACACAAACAAAAUAGAAGAAAACAUUAACAGAUAUACACUAAUGUAUUUAACAUCCUGUAUCCUCUAAAUAACCUUUACAAGAUUGUUUUCUGUAAUAAUCAGUAAUAAUAAUUUUCUUGAUUUGUUCUUUAGCUUUGUAACAACUAUUUAAAAAGAACAGCCAAUAUAAAUCUUAAAGGAAUUUCACACGUGAAGUAAAAUUUGCACUUAACAAUAAAAAAUAAAUUUCUCAAUGACA